ACUGGUUACAAUUUGUUUGUAUUAUGAUUACAGGCAAGGGUAGAAUUGGGUAUAUCAAUGGCGAAAUUCAAGAACCAGAGAAAGAGUGCACACAGUAGAAGGUUUGGCAGGCAGAAAACUCAAUGGUGAUGGCUUGGCUAAUUAAUUCUAUGACUGAGGUCUGAGGAUAUAAGACAAACAUUUCUAUACUACAAGAUAGCCCAGGAGAUAUGAGAUGCCAUCUGUGACACAUACUCAGAUCUGGAAAAUGAAGCUUAGGUAUUUGAGUUGAGGUGCAAGCUGAAAGAGUUGAAGCAGGGUGAUCAAAACGUCACUCAGUAUUAUAACUCUUUGACUAAAAUAUGGCAAGAGUUAGACAUAUACUACGAUAUCGACUAGAAGUGUGGAGAUGACAGCAAGAAGUAUCGACGUCAGGUGGAAAAAGAACGGAUAUAUGACUUCCUAGCUAGCUUGAUAAAAGAACAAGAUGAGGUUCGAGGAUGACUUGUUAGCACCAAGCCCUUACCAUCAAUCCGAGACGUGUUCGCAGAGGUUCGUCGAGAGGAAUGCAAGAGACGUGAUGCUUGGAACCAUGAAGACUGGUGGUUAUGAUGGAUCUGCUUUGAUGUCCAAAGCACCUGAAUUCAAUGACAGUAAAGAGAAAGGAGGCGAAGCUGGAGCAUUCUUCACUAGAGUAGCUGGGAACAAUAAAAAAACAAUCGGUUCACAAAAAAAGAGAGACAAUGUUUGGUGACUAUUGCAAUAAGCAAAGACACAAGGGAAAAUUGCUGGCAACUUCAUGGAAAACUAGGGAGACCAAAGGAUGCAGAAUUUACAAACAAUCAAGGGUCUCAACAAAAGUAUACAGAUCGAGGAGCAAAUCUGGUUGGCUGUCACAACCCUGGAAUUGAUGGAGACUCUGGUCAAGUCUCUGACUUGAAAGAUCAGAUUAACAAUCUCUACAAGAUGAUAAAUAGUAACAAUAAUCCUUUUUCAUCCUUAGCCCAGAAAGGUAAUCAUUCUGCAGCUCUCACUAUUUCACACCUUAAAAAACAAUCCUCAAUCAUAGAUUCAAGGGCUACUGAUCAUAUGGCAGGAAGUCAUAAUUUAUUCAAGACUUAUUCAUCACAUUUAAGUAGUUUUAAAGUGAAUAUAGCAGAUGGUUCAUUAGCCCCUGUUGUUGGGAUUGGAACAGUAGUUAUCAAUAAAGAUCUAAAAUUGGAGUCUGCUUUAUAUGUUCCUCAGUUAACAUGCAAUCUAAUUUCGAUUAGUAAGCUCUCUCAAGAUCAGAAUUACUGUGCUAAUUUCUACCCUACUUAUUGUCAAUUUCAGGAACUUUCUUCGGGAAAGAUGAUUGGCAAUGCUAAGGAAAGAGGAGGUCUCUAUGUGUUUGAAGAAAAAGAUAAUGGUGAUGAACAAGAACAUGAAUCUGGUUGUUGUUUUCCAAGUUCUAUUGUGUCAAGUGUUCGUGUGAAA
rnacentral:lncRNA from 1 species